rnacentral:rRNA from 1 species
CGAGCGCAACCCUUGUCCUUAGUUACCAGCACGUUAUGGUGGGCACUCUAAGGAGACUGCCGGGUGACAAACCGGAGGAAGGUGGGGAUGACGUCAAGUCAUCAUGGCCCUUACGGCCUGGGCUACACACGUGCUACAAUGGUCGGUACAAAGGGUUGCCAAGCCGCGAGGUGGAGCUAAUCCCAUAAAACCGAUCGUAGUCCGGAUCGCAGUCUGCAACUCGACUGCGUGAAGUCGGAAUCGCUAGUAAUCGUGAAUCAGAAUGUCACGGUGAAUACGUUCCCGGGCCUU